rnacentral:rRNA from 1 species
AGGGAAUCUUCCGCAAUGGACGAAAGUCUGACGGAGCAACGCCGCGUGAGUGAUGAAGGUUUUCGGAUCGUAAAACUCUGUUGUUAGGGAAGAACAAGUACCGUUCGAAUAGGGCGGCACCUUGACGGUACCUAACCAGAAAGCCACGGCUAACUACGUGCCAGCAGCCGCGGUAAUACGUAGGUGGCAAGCGUUGUCCGGAAUUAUUGGGCGUAAAGCGCGCGCAGGCGGUUUCUUAAGUCUGAUGUGAAAGCCCCCGGCUCAACCGGGGAGGGUCAUUGGAAACUGGAAGACUUGAGUGCAGAAGAGGAGAGUGGAAUUCCACGUGUAGCGGUGAAAUGCGUAGAGGUGUGGAGGAACACCAGUGGCGAAGGCGACUCUCUGGUCUGUAACUGACGCUGAGGCGCGAAAGCGUGGGGAGCAAAC